UUUUUUUUUAAAGCUUGCUACUUACCCCAUCGGGUCCUUUUUGCCGAAUUGCUAAGUGACGGGGUAUAAACAAACCAACACCGGUUUUCAAGCGGUGGUAGGUGGGGGGUCAGCCACACACACACACACACACACACACACACACAAAAACGGGCUUCUUUCAGUUUCCAUCUACCAAAUCCCUUCACAUGCAGUGGGAUUGAACCCGAAACCAUGUGAAGCAAAUUUCUCCAUACGGCCACGCCUGUACUUACAUGAUCAAAUUUUUUCCACCACUACCACCACCACAGCAAAAAAACCACCUCGCGUCCUUUCCGACACUGUGCAUCGAGGAUGACACUAUCCGGUGUGUCCUUCUCUAAUUUGAGGGAGAUCUAGGGGUCACGUUGUGGCUCUUUUGUUGGCUCAAUGAAACGUUAGCGCGCCGGGCGAAAUGCUUAGCGAUAUUUCGUCUGCCGUUACGUUCUGAGUUCGAAUUCCGCCGAGGUCAACAGUGCCUUUCAUCCUUUCGGGGUCGAUAAAUUAAGUACCAGUCACGCACUGGGGUCGAUAUAAUCGACUUAAUCCGUUUGUCCUCUCUGUGUUUAGCCCCUUGUGGGUAGUAAAGAAAUAGGUAUUUCUUUUGCGGUUACGUUCUGAGUUCAAAUUCCGCCGAGGUCGACUUUGCCUUUCAUCGUUUUAGGGUCGAUUAAAUAAGUACCAGUUACACACUGGGGUCGAUGUAAUCGACUUAAUCCGUUUGUCUGUCCUUGUUUGUCCUCUCUGUGUUUAGCCCCUUGUGGGUAGUAAAGAAAUAGAUAUUUUUUAUUGCUGUUUUCUGACCACUUUAACUUCCAGCUCUGUCUGUUGAACAGACCCUGCAAUGAAGGCUGUAUUGUGUACUAUUUUAAGCUGCACAAAAGAAAAA
rnacentral:lncRNA from 1 species